rnacentral:rRNA from 1 species
CCUCUUGACCCUAACUAACAGGAAGGGGACGGUUAAUUACGUGCCAGCAGCCGCGUAAAUACGUAGGUCCCGAGCGUUGUCCGGAUUUAUUGGGCGUAAAGCGAGCGCAGGUGGUUUAAUAAGUCUGAUGUAAAAGGCAGUGGUUCAACCAUUGUGUGCAUUGGAAACUGUUAAACUUGAGUGCAGAAGAGGAGAGUGGAAUUCCAUGUGUAGCGGUGAAAUGCGUAGAUAUAUGGAGGAACACCGGUGGCGAAAGCGGCUCUCUGGACUGUCACUGACACUGAGGCUCGAAAGCGU